CCACUGAUCAGUCAGAACAAAAUGCUUAUUAAUUAAACUUUGGAAAGCAGAUGUGAUACAUAGCGUUGAGUCCGCCAUCUUGGAUAUGAGGCAGCACAACAAAGAUGGCGGAGCAGCCAGACUGAAGGAGCCUGAGUUUCUAACGACUCUGUGAUGCCACCACGCCAGCCAGGGGAUGCCUAGUUCUGCUGGAUUCAGAGUCCAGUGUGCUCACUGCUACACCAUGGAACCUCCACGAGAGCCGCCUCAGCCAUUUCUAAACUUUAUUCAGUAGCCCUCGUAAGGCAUAUACUACCACAGCGCCAGCGUCCCUUCCUACAUGAGGACACCAAAGAUGGGAGUUUGGGUUACCUGCCUUUAGGUGGAAAGCUAUCGAGUAAGCAGAAUCCCAGGAGACCCAAGGUCCAUAUCCACUUGUUUUCUACUCUUGUCUUUCGCCUACCUUUGGAGGGGAUGUGGAGAAGACCCCAAAGAAGGCCAGGGACUUGAGCCUAGCUCUAGAGUCUUGAAAAUCAUAGCACUGAGGAACUAGAGGCUGCUAUUUUGACACAUGAAGUGCAUGCCAAAAACGACACUGGCAGCCCGACUGUGGCACUGUGUUAGAUUACAGGCUUGGCUCGCCUCGUCAUCUCCUUGCACCUGUUAUCACACGGGUGUGCCAAUGAGGAUGGCAAACAGUGCCAAGUGCAGUAGGCACGAAGGGACUGCAGCCAGAAGAUGUACAUGGAAUGCAAAGUCCUUCUGACGUGUAAUGACUUUUGGCUCUUCAAACUUAGGGCAGGCUGUAAAAGAUAUAGUAGAAAGAUUACCAAAUACCAUGUCUCAGCUGGCAUCUGCCUUCCACAAAGGCAAAGGGGAACUUUUUUCCCCUAUCACCUUCAAAUCAUAUAUGAUAAGCUGAGCGGUACCUCACCUGUAACCCUAUGGGAACAAAAUGACCAAAGGACGGGGGAAAUCACAGCAUUUCCAGCUGUGCCCUCUCUUCCCUCCUCUAAGCCCAAAGACUACUUCUGUGACAAGAAAUAUAGCUGGUCUUCUGUAUACAAUUAUCUUCUAGAUUGAAAGGCAUCCUAAAAUAGUAGGACUGAACCACGCUCUCGGCUUACCUGAAUAAUAGCAAGAACUGGCUUAAAGGCAGAGUUUUUUUCUUGCAAUAAACUCAGAACUUCUUUUGAAUUCUGAAUAACUUCUCUACAAUGAGAAAGAAAAACCACAUACAGUCACGUCUUUGUUAAUGACUAGAAGGGUAGAUACAACACAUUUCCUUCGAAAGUGCAAGUUCGUUACUAUAAGUGAAAAUAGACGACAUAAAUGAAACAGGCAAACAGCCAUUGAUGAUUAAGUAGCUAGGAACUUAAGUUUUUCUUCCUUUUUGCAAUUACUGGUUAUAGCUUUUAGCUGUUUACCCGCCCAUUGUCAACUGUGCUGUUUAGACAAUAUGCUAUCUGACUCCCACUAGGUUCCUAUAGAUAACAUCUCCUUGAAGCCUGGGUUACCAUGGCAAUGGGUGUUUGAGCUGUUUUUCAGGAAUUAGAACCCCUUGUCCACUUCAGGCCGGUUGAAACCACCAACCCAUCAAAUGGGCCCACGUAGAUGUCCGAUAA